UAGUGGCGAACGGGUGAGUAACACGUGGGCAAUCUGCCCUUCACUCUGGGACAAGCCCUGGAAACGGGGUCUAAUACCGGAUAUCACUUCUGCUCGCAUGGGUGGGGGUUGAAAGCUCCGGCGGUGAAGGAUGAGCCCGCGGCCUAUCAGCUUGUUGGUGAGGUAGUGGCUCACCAAGGCGACGACGGGUAGCCGGCCUGAGAGGGCGACCGGCCACACUGGGACUGAGACACGGCCCAGACUCCUACGGGAGGCAGCAGUGGGGAAUAUUGCACAAUGGGCGGAAGCCUGAUGCAGCGACGCCGCGUGAGGGAUGACGGCCUUCGGGUUGUAAACCUCUUUCAGCAGGGAAGAAGCGCAAGUGACGGUACCUGCAGAAGAAGCGCCGGCUAACUACGUGCCAGCAGCCGCGGUAAUACGUAGGGCGCAAGCGUUGUCCGGAAUUAUUGGGCGUAAAGAGCUCGUAGGCGGCUUGUCACGUCGGGUGUGAAAGCCCGGGGCUUAACCCCG
rnacentral:rRNA from 2 species